UGGGGAAUAUUGGGCAAUGGGCGCAAGCCUGACCCAGCAACGCCGCGUGAGGGAAGAAGGCUUUCGGGUUGUAAACCUCUGUCCUUGGUGACGAAAAAAAUGACGGUAGCCAAGGAGGAAGCCCCGGCUAACUACGUGCCAGCAGCCGCGGUAAUACGUAGGGGGCGAGCGUUGUCCGGAAUUACUGGGCGUAAAGGGUGCGUAGGUGGCCUUUUAAGUUGGAUGUGAAAUCCCCGAGCUUAACUUGGGUGGUGCAUCUAAUACUGGAGGGCUAGCGUGCAGGAGAGGAAAGCGGAAUUCCUAGUGUAGCGGUGAAAUGCGUAGAUAUUAGGAGGAACACCAGUGGCGAAGGCGGCUUUCUGGACUGUAACUGACACUGAGGCACGAAAGCGUGGGGAGCAAACA
rnacentral:rRNA from 1 species